GCCGGCGUAGCUCAGUGGUAGAGCGCGGGUUUGUGGAACCCGAUGCCCGUGGUUCGAUCCCACGCGCCGGUACCA
rnacentral:tRNA from 1 species